UCCGGUUGAUCCUGCCGGACCCGACUGCUAUUUGGGUGAGAAUAAGCCAUGCGAGUUGAAUGGGAUACCUAAAUUUCCCAUAGCGAACUGCUCAGUAACACAUGAUCAACUUACCCUAUAGAGAAACAUAACCUCGGGAAACUGAGGAUAAUAUUUCAUAGUUGAAUAGGCUUGGAAAAGUUUUUCAAUAAAAGAGAUAAAAAAAAUGGUUUUUAUCUGCUAUAGGAUAGGAUCGUGGACGAUUAUGGUUGUUGGUGGUAACGGCUCACCAAGCCGAUAAUCGAUAGGGGCCGUGAGAGCGGGAGCCCCGAGAUGGGUACUGAGACAACGACCCAGGCCUUACGAGGCGCAGCAGGCGCGGAACCUCCGCAAUACACGAAAGUGUGACGGGGUUACCCAAAGUGUUCAAUUUUGAACUGUGGUAGGUGAGUAAUGUUCCCUACUAGAAAGGAGAGGGCAAGGCUGGUGCCAGCCGCCGCGGUAAAACCAGCUCUUCAAGUGGUCGGGAUAAUUAUUGGGCUUAAAGUGUCCGUAGCCGGUUUAGUAAGUUCCUGGUAAAAUCGGGUAGCUUAACUAUCUGUAUGCUAGGAAUACUGCUAUACUAGAGGGCGGGAGAGGUCUGAGGUACUACAGGGGUAGGGGUGAAAUCUUAUAAUCCUUGUAGGACCACCAGUGGCGAAGGCGUCAGACUGGAACGCGCCUGACGGUGAGGGACGAAAGCCAGGGGAGCGAACCGGAUUAGAUACCCGGAUAGUCCUGGCCGUAAACGAUGCAUACUAGGUGAUGGCACGGCCAUGAGCCGUGUCAGUGCCGUAGGGAAACCGUUAAGUGUGCCGCCUGGGAAGUACGGUCGCAAGGCUAAAACUUAAAGGAAUUGGCGGGGGAGCAC
rnacentral:rRNA from 1 species